rnacentral:rRNA from 1 species
CUACGGAGGGUGCAAGCGUUAUCCGGAAUCAUGGGGUUUAAAGGGUCCGUAGGCGGACUAUUAAGUCAGAGGUGAAAUCCCACAGCUCAACUGUGGAACUGCCUUUGAUACUGGUAGUCUUGAGUUAUAUGGAAGUAGAUAGAAUGUGUAGUGUAGCGGUGAAAUGCAUAGAUAUUACACAGAAUACCGAUUGCGAAGGCAGUCUACUACGUAUAUACUGACGCUAAGGGACGAAAGCGUGGGGAGCGAACAGGAUUAGAAACCCUAGUAGUCC